CCUACGGGUGGCAGCAGUGAGGAAUAUUGGUCAAUGGACGAGAGUCUGAACCAGCAACGUAGCGUGAAGGAUGACUGCCCUCUGGGUUGUAAACUUCUUUUAUAAAGGAAUAAAACGAGGCACGUGUGCCUUUUUGUAUGUACUUUAUGAAUAAGGAUCGGCUAACUCCGUGCCAGCAGCCGCGGUAAUACGGAGGAUCCGAGCGUUAUCCGGAUUUAUUGGGUUUAAAGGGAGCGUAGAUGGGUUGUUACGUCAGUUGUGAAAGGUUGCGGCUCAACCGUACAAUUGCAAUUGAUACUGGCAGCCGUGAGUGCAGUUGAGGUAGGCGGAAUUCGUGGUGUAGCGGUGAAAUGCUUAGAUAUCACGAAGAACUCCGAUUGCGAAGGCAGCUUACUAAACUGCAACUGACAGUGAAGCUCGAAAGUGUGGGUAUCAAACAGGAUUAGAUACCCUGGUAGUC
rnacentral:rRNA from 1 species